rnacentral:rRNA from 1 species
UCCAGACUCCUACGGGAGGCAGCAGUGGGGAAUAUUGCACAAUGGGGGAAACCCUGAUGCAGCGACGCCGCGUGAGUGAAGAAGUAUUUCGGUAUGUAAAGCUCUAUCAGCAGGGAAGAAAAUGACGGUACCUGACUAAGAAGCCCCGGCUAACUACGUGCCAGCAGCCGCGGUAAUACGUAGGGGGCAAGCGUUAUCCGGAUUUACUGGGUGUAAAGGGAGCGUAGACGGCUAUGCAAGUCUGGAGUGAAAGGCGGGGGCCCAACCCCCGGACUGCUCUGGAAACUGUAGAGCUAGAGUGCAGGAGAGGUAAGUGGAAUUCCUAGUGUAGCGGUGAAAUGCGUAGAUAUCAGGAGGAACACCGGUGGCGAAGGCGGCCUGCUGGACUGCAACUGACGUUGAGGCCCGAAAGCGUGGGGAGCAAACAGGAUUAGAUACCCAAGUAA